GGACCCGCACAAGUAGUGGAGCAUGUGGUUUAAUUCGAUGCAACGCGAAGAACCUUACCAGGGUUUGACAUCCUGCGAAUCUCUUGGAAACUUGAGAGUGCCUUCGGGAGCGCAGUGACAGGUGGUGCAUGGCUGUCGUCAGCUCGUGUCGUGAGAUGUUGGUUAAGUCCCGCAACGAGCGCAACCCACGUCUUUAGUUGCCAGCAUUUAGUUGGGCACUCUAGAGAGACCGCCGGUGAUAAACCGGAGGAAGGUGUGGAUGACGUCAAGUCAUCAUGCCCCUUACAUCCUGGGCUACACACGUGCUACAAUGGCGCAUACAGAGGGCGGCCAACUUGCGAGAGUGAG
rnacentral:rRNA from 1 species